rnacentral:rRNA from 1 species
AGAACGAACGCUGGCGGCAGGCCUCAAACAUGCAAGUCUAGGGGGGUAGCAAUACCCACCGGCGGACGGGUGCGUAACACGUGGGAAUAUACCUUUCGGUACGGAACAACUGCGGGAAACUGCAGCUAAUACCGUAUACGUCCUAACGGAGAAAGAUUUAUCGCCGAAGGAUUAGCCCGCGUUCGAUUAGCUAGUUGGUGUGGUAACGGCUCACCAAGGCAACGAUCGAUAGCUGUUCUGAGAGGAAGAUCAGCCACACUGGGACUGAGACACGGCCCAGACUCCUACGGGAGGCAGCAGUUGGGAAUCUUGGACAAUGGGGGAAACCCUGAUCCAGCCAUGCCGCGUGAGUGAUGAAGGCCUUCGGGUUGUAAAGGCUCGUUUUACCCGGGAAGAUAAUGACUGUACCGGAGAAUAAGCUCCGGCUAACUUCGUGCCAGCAGCCGC